rnacentral:rRNA from 1 species
GUAACACGUGAGUGACCUGCCUUUUAGACUGGAACAACUUACCGAAAGGUGAGCUAAUGCCGGAUGAGUUAUAUAAGUGCAUGUUUAUAUAGGAAAAGUUGGGGAGACCUGACGCUGAAAGAUGGACUCGCGUCCCAUUAGCUAGUUGGUAGGGUAAUGGCCUACCAAGGCGACGAUGGGUAGCCGGCCUGAGAAGGUGGCCGGCCACACUGGGACUGAGACACGGCCCAGGCUCCUACGGGAGGCAGCAGUGGGGAAUUUUGCGCAAUGCUCGUAAGAGUGACGCAGCGACGCCGCGUGAAUGACGAAGGCCUUCGGGUCGUAAAGUUCUUUCGACAGGGAAGAAAAUGCCUAUAAGUAACUGUGUGUGUAUUGACGGUACCUGUAUAAGCAGCCCCGGCUAACUCCGUGCCAGCAGCCGCGGUAAUACGGAGGGGGCGAGCGUUGUUCGGAGUGACUGGGCGUAAAGAGCACGUAGGCGGUGUUGUAAGUCAUUAGUCAAAGACUAGAGCUCAACUUUAGUAAGGCUAGUGAUACUAUAAUACUAGAGUAUCAGAGAGGAUUGCAGAAUUCCUGGUGUAGCGGUGAAAUGCGUAGAUAUCAGGAGGAAUACCGUUAGCGAAGGCGGCAAUCUGGCUGGAAACUGACGCUGAGGUGCGAAAGCGUGGGUAGCAAACAGGAUUAGAUACCCUGGUAGU